ACGUAGGGUGCGAGCGUUGUCCGGAAUUACUGGGCGUAAAGGGUGCGUAGGUGGCUCGGCAAGUCAGAUGUGAAAUCCCCGGGCUCAACUCGGGAGCUGCAUUUGAAACUGCUGAGCUUGAGUGCAGGAGAGGAAAGCGGAAUUCCUAGUGUAGCGGUGAAAUGCGUAGAUAUUAGGAGGAACACCAGUGGCGAAGGCGGCUUUCUGGACUGUUACUGACACUGAGGCACGAAAGCGUGGGGAGCAAACAG
rnacentral:rRNA from 1 species